GGAAACAGAUGCUAAUACCGAAUGAAACUUAGUGUCGCAUGACACGAAGUUAAAAGGCGCUUUGGCGUCACCUAGAGAUGGAUCCGCGGUGCAUUAGUUAGUUGGUGGGGUAAAGGCCUACCAAGACAAUGAUGCAUAGCCGAGUUGAGAGACUGAUCGGCCACAUUGGGACUGAGACACGGCCCAAACUCCUACGGGAGGCUGCAGUAGGGAAUCUUCCACAAUGGGCGAAAGCCUGAUGGAGCAACGCCGCGUGUGUGAUGAAGGCUUUCGGGUCGUAAAGCACUGUUGUAUGGGAAGAACAGCUAGAAUAGGGAAUGAUUUUAGUUUGACGGUACCAUACCAGAAAGGGACGGCUAAAUACGUGCCAGCAGCCGCGGUAAUACGUAUGUCCCGAGCGUUAUCCGGAUUUAUUGGGCGUAAAGCGAGCGCAGACGGUUGAUUAAGUCUGAUGUGAAAGCCCGGAGCUCAACUCCGGAAUGGCAUUGGAAACUGGUUAACUUGAGUGCAGUAGAGGUAAGUGGAACUCCAUGUGUAGCGGUGGAAUGCGUAGAUAUAUGGAAGAACACCAGUGGCGAAGGCGGCUUACUGGACUGUAACUGACGUUGAGGCUCGAAAGUGUGGGUAGCAAACAGGAUUAGAUACCCUGGUAGUCCACACCGUAAACGAUGAACACUAGGUGUUAGGAGGUUUCCGCCUCUUAGUGCCGAAGCUAACGCAUUAAGUGUUCCGCCUGGGGAGUACGACCGCAAGGUUGAAACUCAAAGGAAUUGACGGGGACCCGCACAAGCGGUGGAGCAUGUGGUUUAAUUCGAAGCAACGCGAAGAACCUUACCAGGUCUUGACAUCCUUUGAAGCUUUUAGAGAUAGAAGUGUUCUCUUCGGAGACAAAGUGACAGGUGGUGCAUGGUCGUCGUCAGCUCGUGUCGUG
rnacentral:rRNA from 1 species